rnacentral:rRNA from 1 species
AUUGAACGCUGGCGGCAUGCCUUACACAUGCAAGUCGAACGGCAGCACGGUUGCUUGCACCUGGUGGCGAGUGGCGAACGGGUGAGUAAUACAUCGGAACAUGUCCUGUAGUGGGGGAUAGCCCGGCGAAAGCCGGAUUAAUACCGCAUACGAUCUACGGAUGAAAGCGGGGGACCUUCGGGCCUCGCGCUAUAGGGUUGGCCGAUGGCUGAUUAGCUAGUUGGUGGGGUAAAGGCCUACCAAGGCGACGAUCAGUAGCUGGUCUGAGAGGACGACCAGCCACACUGGGACUGAGACACGGCCCAGACUCCUACGGGAGGCAGCAGUGGGGAAUUUUGGACAAUGGGCGAAAGCCUGAUCCAGCAAUGCCGCGUGUGUGAAGAAGGCCUUCGGGUUGUAAAGCACUUUUGUCCGGAAAGAAAUCCUUGGCCCUAAUACGGUCGGGGGAUGACGGUACCGGAAGAAUAAGCACCGGCUAACUACGUG